AUUAAUAUAAUAUAAUAAAGUAUGUUUAAUUUCCAAUUAAAUAGUUUAAUUAAUUUUAAUGUUAAUA
rnacentral:tRNA from 1 species